rnacentral:rRNA from 1 species
UCGAGAAUCUUCGGCAAUGGGCGAAAGCCUGACCGAGCGAUGCCGCGUGCGGGAUGAAGGCCUUCGGGUUGUAAACCGCUGUCGUAGGGGAGAAAGGGUCGUUGAAGAAACGACUUUGAUCUAUCCUAGGAGGAAGUCCGGGCUAAGUUCGUGCCAGCAGCCGCGGUAACACGAACCGGACAAACGUUAUUCGGAAUUACUGGGCUUAAAGGGUGCGUAGGCGGUGCGGUAAGUGCGGUGUGAAAUCCCACGGCUCAACCGUGGAAUUGCGCUGCAUACUGCCGUGCUAGAGGGAGACAGGGGUAAGCGGAACUGAUGGUGGAGCGGUGAAAUGCGUAGAUAUCGGAAAGAACACCAGUGGCGAAGGCGACUUCCUGGCCUAAUACUGACACUGAGGCACGAAAGCGUGGUGAGCAAACAGGAUUAGAUACCCGCGUAGUCCCUGAGCGGGCUGGCAAGGCGCAU